UGUCAGGGAUAAAUGCUCCAUUUGUUCCUCUUUCCCAACAAGAACAAAUCUAGGGAAUUCCACCUUAGGAAGUACUUUCUGGAGGGAGCACUCAAAACGGUGAUGUGUCCCUCUUCAGAAUUUGGCCUGAAUCACAAGAGGAUGGAGAGCUCUUCCACAAAGAUCACACCUCUGGAUACUUCGACCUCAAAACCAAAGACUGGAGAAAAGAGCAGCUUUUCUUCUUCUCCUGUGGUGUCCUCGAAGCAGAAGUUCUUCUCUGAAUGAUUGUACAUGUCCAUUCCACUUCAGGCAGUGGGAACACUUCUGAGGCACACGUCCCUCUUCCAGGCAGCGGAUACACCGUGCGUGGCCGUCCAUUAUAGAGAAGAUGUCUCCGCACAAGACACACUGCUUAAACCCAGGAGGAAGAAGCAGAAAAAGGAAACCAAGGAGCUAACUAACUACACCUCUACCUUGAUAUAACGCGACCUGAUACAACACGAAUUCGGAUAUAACGCGGCAAAGCAGCACUCCGGGGGGGCAGGGUUGCACGCUCCGGACGAUCAAAGCAAGUUUCACCUAUAA